AACGGCCAUACCAUGCUGAAUAUACCGGUUCUCGUUAGAUCACCGAUGUCAAGCAUCAUUGGGCGCGGUCAGUACUUGAGUGGGGUGACCUCCUAAGGGGAACACCGAGUGCCGUU